GGUUCUUCUAGAACGCAGUGGAGAUAGCUAGAUUGAUUGGGACAUCUGAAGCCAAUCAAGGGCUGGCUGGAACUAGUUAAAAGCCUCCCCGUUGGUCAGUGAGGUGUAGAUGUCAGGAGCUAUAGGAGGGAGCUGUGCUGUUGGAGGAAUGAAGCGGUACAAAUCCAUAUCAGGUGUAAGGAAGGAGGCCCUGAGAGAGAGAAGGGCUACGUGGAGGGUCGUAGUGAGCCUCUGAGGCUAGCAAAAUCCGCCAGGAAACGCAGGACCGACGGAGUCAAGGACAGAACUUUGUCACAAUAUGUUAUCUGGUUAACAACCUCAGGUCUACAAUACCCGCCAGAUCAGCAGGCAGUGAUCGAUCCAGCGGGGGUCGAUUUAUCAUGUCUAGACUAGAUGCGAUAAAUCGACCCCCGAGCGCUCUCCAGUUGACUCCUGUACUCCUCCGCAAGAGGCGCAGGCGGAGUCGACGA